UACGGAGGAGGCAAGCGUUAUCCGGAAUCAUUGGGCGUAAAGAGCGUGUAGGCGGCCAGGCAGGUCUGCUGUGAAAACUCGAGGCUCAACCUCGAGACGUCGGCGGAAACCAUCUGGCUAGAGUCCGGAAGAGGAGAGUGGAAUUCCUGGUGUAGCGGUGAAAUGCGCAGAUAUCAGGAGGUACACCGGUGGCGAAGGCGGAUCUCUGGGCCAUUACUGACGCUGAGGAGCGAAAGCGUGGGGAGCGAACAGG
rnacentral:rRNA from 1 species